GUGAGUAUAAGGUGUGAUACCUUCUAAAUUGGGGGGUUGCAACAUCGACCGACCUUGAUCUUCUGUGAAGGGUUUGAGUAAGAGCAUAUUGUUACGACCGAAGAUGGUGAACUAUACUUGAGCAGCCUGAAGCCUGAGGAAACUCAGGUGGAAGGGCGCAGCGGUACUGACGUGCAAAUCGUUCGUCAGACUUGAGUAUAGGGGCGAAAGACUAAUCGAACCAUCUAGUAGCUGGUUCCCCUCUGAAAAUUUUCUCUCAGGAUAGCUGGAACAAUUUCAAGCAGUUUUAUCAGGUAAAGCGAAUGAUUAGAGGACUCGGAGCUCAAAGAGCUUUGACCUAUUCUCAAACUUUAAAUUGGUAAGAUCUAUUAGUUCUCUUAAUUGAACUGGUAGGCAGAAUGCAUUGUUCCAAGUGGGGCUUAUCGUGGUAAGCAUGUUAAGCAAUGAGGGAUGAACCUAACGCUGAGAUAAGGCGCCAAAAU
rnacentral:rRNA from 1 species